UACGAAGGGGGCUAGCGUUGUUCGGAAUUACUGGGCGUAAAGCGCACGUAGGCGGCUAUUUAAGUCAGGGGUGAAAUCCCGGGGCUCAACCCCGGAACUGCCUUUGAUACUGGAUAUCUUGAGUUCGGAAGAGGUAAGUGGAAUUGCGAGUGUAGAGGUGAAAUUCGUAGAUAUUCGCAGGAACACCAGUGGCGAAGGCGGCUUACUGGUCCGAUACUGACGCUGAGGUGCGAAAGCGAGGGGAGCAAACAGG
rnacentral:rRNA from 1 species